UACAGAGGAGCCAAGCGUUGUCCGGAUUGACUGGGCGUAAAGCGCACGCAGGCGGCACCGCGCGUGGGGUGUGAAAUCUGGCCGCUUAACGGCCAGGCGCCAUCCCAUACGGCGGAGCUGGAGUGAUGCAGAGGUCGAUGGAAUUGCCGGUGUAGUGGUGAAAUGCGUUGAUAUCGGAAGGAACGCCGGUGGCGAAAGCGACGGACUGGAUCUCUUCUGACGCUGAGGCGCGAAAGCCAGGGGAGCAAACGGG
rnacentral:rRNA from 1 species